rnacentral:rRNA from 1 species
CAGCCGCCACGGUAAUACGAAGGGUGCAAGCGUUAAUCGGAAUUACUGGGCAUAAAGCGUGCGUAGGCGGUGAGUUAAGUCUGCUGUGAAAUCCCCGGGCUCAACCUGGGAAUGGCAGUGGAUACUGGCUCGCUAGAGUGUGUCAGAGGAUAGUGGAAUUUCCGGUGUAGCAGUGAAAUGCGUAGAGAUCGGGAGGAACAUCAGUGGCGAAGGCGGCCAUCUGGGACAACACUGACGCUGAGGCACGAAAGCGUGGGGAGCAAACAGGAUUAGAUACCCCCGUAGUCCCUGUCUCUUAUAC